CCUACGGGAGGCAGCAGUGGGGAAUAUUGGACAAUGGGCGAAAGCCUGAUCCAGCAAUGCCGCGUGAGUGAAGAAGGCCUUCGGGUUGUAAAGCUCUUUUACCCGGGAAGAUAAUGACUGUACCGGGAGAAUAAGCUCCGGCUAACUCCGUGCCAGCAGCCGCGGUAAUACGGAGGGAGCUAGCGUUGUUCGGAAUUACUGGGCGUAAAGCGUACGUAGGCGGCUUGGUAAGUCAGAGGUAAAAGCCCACGACUCAAUCGUGGAACUGCCUUUAGAGACUGCUUCGCUUGAAGAUGGGAGAGGUUAGUGGAAUUCCGAGUGUAGAGGUGAAAUUCGUAGAUAUUCGGAAGAACACCAGUGGCGAAGGCGGCUAACUGGACCAUUCUUGACGCUGAGGUACGAAAGCGUGGGGAGCAAACAGGAUUAGAUACCCUGGUAGUCCACGCCGUAAACGAUGAUAACUAGCUNUCGGGGCUCUUGGAGCUUCGGUGGCGCAGCUACGACAUUAAGUUAUCCGUCCGUGGGUAGGUACGGCCGCGAACGGUUAAACGUUAAACGUAGUAAGUUAGUACGGACGUAGAGACGUGCGACGGACGACGACGAGGGAGUAGG
rnacentral:rRNA from 1 species